rnacentral:misc_RNA from 1 species
UGCGACCCCUGGGUUCAUGACCCAGACUGCUUCAGCAGCAAACAAGUUUAAAACUCCAACAACAUCAACCAAGUCUCUGUCUAGAUUUCGGACCCCUGGCUCCUCUACCGUCAGCACCCGUUCAUUAUAUCUAAAAUAGAUUAAAUAUAUAUAUUUAUACAGAUCAGGGGCGUAAUUAUAAUUUAAAAACUCUUUGUCGUCACUUUUUCGCUUAAAAAAUAUAUUUAAACACUUUCAUUUCUUCUUUUCGGAAAUUUUACCUUGAACUUGGUUUUGAAAUCUUGAAUAUUUUUUCCCAUCCCUGGUUUUGUAAUGUAAAAAAUUAUUAAUAAUAUAAUAAUGAUAAAAACAUGCUUUUAUUGUUAGCAUAGGUUUUUAGUUUAGUGUAUGGUAUUAUUUGGCAGAUUUUUAUAUUUUGUUACCAGGUUCAAGGGGGUGGGAUGCGCAAACAUUUAAUUGUUGAUACAAUUUUUAAAAUGAUUGUUUCUAGCGCCGCGCAUUUUUGGAACAUUGUACAUGUACAUUGUACAUCUAAUGUGACAAAUGAAAAUGUAGACUACUGUUAAAUAUUUUUUUCUUCAGCUUCCUUCUAACAUUAUUAUGUACCUGUCAGCACUACGCUUAUGGUUCGGCACUAAAUACUAUAUACAGUAAAAUCUUUUGUGUUUAAAUGUCGACACUAUACUUUGACAAAAAAAUACUGUUAUUAUAACCAAAUUUUUGUAAUAAACGUUUUGUAUUACUAACUAUAUUGUUAUUUUAAAAAUAUUGAGGAGACAUCUAGUGUCGAAUUUAUCAUCUAACCAUGAGUAAUUUCAGA